CUGCGGCAGCGACACUAUGUGUUGUUGGGUAGGGGAGCGUUCUGUAAGCCUGUGAAGGUGGCCUGUGAGGGUUGCUGGAGGUAUCAGAAGUGCGAAUGCUGACAUAAGUAACGAUAAAGCGGGUGAAAAGCCCGCUCGCCGGAAGACCAAGGGUUCCUGUCCAACGUUAAUCGGGGCAGGGUGAGUCGACCCCUAAGGCGAGGCCGAAAGGCGUAGUCGAUGGGAAACAGGUUAAUAUUCCUGUACUUGGUGUUACUGCGAAGGGGGGACGGAGAAGGCUAUGUUGGCCGGGCGACGGUUGUCCCGGUUUAAGCGUGUAGGCUGGUUUUCCAGGCAAAUCCGGAAAACCAAGGCUGAGGCGUGAUGACGAGGCACUACGGUGCUGAAGCGACAAAUGCCCUGCUUCCAGGAAAAGCCUCUAAGCAUCAGGUAACAUCAAAUCGUACCCCAAACCGACACAGGUGGUCAGGUAGAGAAUACCAAGGCGCUUGAGAGAACUCGGGUGAAGGAACUAGGCAAAAUGGUGCCGUAACUUCGGGAGAAGGCACGCUGAUAUGUAGGUGAAGCGACUUGCUCGUGGAGCUGAAAUCAGUCGAAGAUACCAGCUGGCUGCAACUGUUUAUUAAAAACACAGCACUGUGCAAACACGAAAGUGGACGUAUACGGUGUGACGCCUGCCCGGUGCCGGAAGGUUAAUUGAUGGGGUUAGCGGUAACGCGAAGCUCUUGAUCGAAGCCCCGGUAAACGGCGGCCGUAACUAUAACGGUCCUAAGGUAGCGAAAUUCCUUGUCGGGUAAGUUCCGACCUGCACGAAUGGCGUAAUGAUGGCCAGGCUGUCUCCACCCGAGACUCAGUGAAAUUGAACUCGCUGUGAAGAUGCAGUGUACCCGCGGCAAGACGGAAAGACCCCGUGAACCUUUACUAUAGCUUGACACUGAACAUUGAGCCUUGAUGUGUAGGAUAGGUGGGAGGCUUUGAAGUGUGGACGCCAGUCUGCAUGGAGCCGACCUUGAAAUACCACCCUUUAAUGUUUGAUGUUCUAACGUUGGCCCGUAAUCCGGGUUGCGGACAGUGUCUGGUGGGUAGUUUGACUGGGGCGGUCUCCUCCUAAAGAGUAACGGAGGAGCACGAAGGUUGGCUAAUCCUGGUCGGACAUCAGGAGGUUAGUGCAAUGGCAUAAGCCAGCUUGACUGCGAGCGUGACGGCGCGAGCAGGUGCGAAAGCAGGUCAUAGUGAUCCGGUGGUUCUGAAUGGAAGGGCCAUCGCUCAACGGAUAAAAGGUACUCCGGGGAUAACAGGCUGAUACCGCCCAAGAGUUCAUAUCGACGGCGGUGUUUGGCACCUCGAUGUCGGCUCAUCACAUCCUGGGGCUGAAGUAGGUCCCAAGGGUAUGGCUGUUCGCCAUUUAAAGUGGUACGCGAGCUGGGUUUAGAACGUCGUGAGACAGUUCGGUCCCUAUCUGCCGUGGGCGCUGGAGAACUGAGGGGGGCUGCUCCUAGUACGAGAGGACCGGAGUGGACGCAUCACUGGUGUUCGGGUUGUCAUGCCAAUGGCACUGCCCGGUAGCUAAAUGCGGAAGAGAUAAGUGCUGAAAGCAUCUAAGCACGAAACUUGCCCCGAGAUG
rnacentral:rRNA from 1 species